rnacentral:rRNA from 1 species
GACGAACGCUGGCGGCGUGCCUAAUACAUGCAAGUAGAACGCAGUUGCGAACGGGUGAGUAACGCGUAGGUAACUGCCUCAUAGCGGGGGAUAACUAUUGGAAACGAUAGCUAAUACCGCAUACUGUGAGAUGGACCUGCGUUGUAUUAGCUAGUUGGUGAGGUCAAGGCUCACCAAGGCGACGAUAGAUAGCCGGACUGAGAGGGGGAUCGGCCAACCUGGGAAUGGAACACGGACCAGACUCCUACUGGAGGCAGCAGUAAGGAAUCUUCGGGCAAGGAGGGAAGGCCGACCGAGCAACGCCGCGUGAGUGAAGAAGGUUUUCGGGUCGGAAAGCUCUGUUGUUAGAGGAGCGGUACCUAACCAGAAAGGGACGGCUAACUACGUGCCAGCAGCCGCGGUAAUUC